rnacentral:rRNA from 1 species
AGGUCGAACAGACCUUCUCAUAUAACCUCUUCAUUAUAUAGAUUUUUUAAUUCAACAUCGAGGUCGCAACCUUCCCUUUCGAUAAGAACUCUCAAAGGAAAUUACGCUGUUAUCCCUAAAGUAACUUAGCCUAUUAAUCUUUAAAAAGGAUCUUUUACAAAACUUAUCACUAAUAAUUGUAUAAGUAAUUAAGCAGUUAAAAUAAAUUUUACUUAUGUCUCCCCAACAUAACAAAUAAUUAAAUUAAAUUUUUAUUUUUAUAAAUUCACUAAAAUAUAACUACAAUGUAAAGUUUUAUAGGGUCUUAUCGUCCCCUUAGAUUAUUUAAGCCUUUUCACUUAAAAGUUAAAUUCAAUAUUAAUAUAAAGAGAGUUAUUCUUUUGUCUAACCAUUCAUACAAGAUUCCAAUUAAAAACCUAAUGAUUAUGCUACCUUCGCACAGUUAUUAAUACUGCGGCCCUUUAAAUUCGAAAUCAGGGGGCAGGCCAAAUUAUUUAUAACUACAAACAAAC